UCUGUUAACAGGAGCCCAAGCCUCUGCAGACUGCUUCGCUGGGUGGAAUGACUGGUGGAGCCCAGGUUCAAAGCCAUUGGCCUCCAAGUGCUUUAAUUCAGCGUUAUUUUUGCUUCUCUAACCUCUUUUUUCCUUUGUUAUUGUCUGUAAAUCCCAGUUAAGUACUCAAAGAUUUAAAGUGUAAUGAAACUUAGAUGGUUGGGAAAGUGGUUGAAGUGAAUGUUCUCUGUGAAGCUUUUUUAUUAUUUAAAAGUUUGGGUAAUUCUGUUGUUCUCUUUUCCUAAAUAUAUUCAAG
rnacentral:lncRNA from 1 species